GUACUUCUGAAGAGUCCCAGUCUAGGACGAAACAGCUGUCAAGUAC
rnacentral:hammerhead_ribozyme from 1 species